rnacentral:rRNA from 1 species
GACGAACGUUGGCGGCGUGCCUAACACAUGCAAGUCGAACGAAAGUAGCAAUACUUUAGUGGCGCACGGGUGAGUAACACGUAGCUUACCUCCCUCUCAGCGCGGGAUAACGACUCGAAAGAGUUGCUAAUACCGCAUAAGCUCACGGGUUCUAGAGACUUGUGAGAAAAGGUGCAAAUCACUGAGAGACGGGGCUGCGGCCCAUCAGCUAGUUGGCGCGGAAAGGCGCACCAAGGCGACGACGGGUAGGGGACCUGAGAGGGU